rfam:Hordeum vulgare subsp. vulgare, WGS project CAJW01000000 data, contig: morex_contig_42212
CCUAUACUCCUUCCGUGCCAAAAUUCUUGUCUUAGAUUUGUCUAGAAAUAGAUGUAUCAAAAUACUAAAACGUGACUAGAUACAUUUAUAUUUAGACAAAUCUAAGACAAGAAUUUUAGGACGGAUGGAGUAUUUU